UUAGAGGAAGUAAAAGUCGUAACAAGGUUUCCCCAGAUCCUUCUGAAGCCUCUAACGCAACGACUAUAACCAUGUGUUGAGUCCACCCCCCGCGGUGGGCGACGUCACCUCUGUGCUGGGAUCCCCUCUGGUGAGAUCAGCAGCCGAACGUGUCCACGUUCGGUCCACAGAUUAGAUGGUGGCGGUCAGCGGUUGAUGCCUGCGGGCACGCCCUGAUCCAGAUAUAAUCGGUCUCCAUGGCCUCCAUGGAUGAGCAACGUUCCGUAGGUGAACCUGCGGAAGGAUCAUUA
rnacentral:rRNA from 1 species